UGAAACCGUCUAGAGGCAAACGGAGAGGACCGUAUGGUCCGCCCGUCGGAUUCAGUCCGCCUGCGCGGCGUAGGCGUCGGUGGCGCAUCCCUCGUGGGAGCGCGCCGGCGUCUCGAUCGUCGUGCGGCGGCCGUACUUUCGGCGGGCGGAGCGCCACGACCGGUUCGCGGGCGGCGAGAAACUCUCGGGCAAGGUGACCUCCGCCUCGGCGCAGGAGCAUACAGGCCCGGCGAGCGCAGGCCCGUCCGCGGACCGAGGAAGACCGUCGCGGAGCGGCGUCGACCGCCCGUCGUGGGCGCGCGUUCGACUCGGGGGGACUGGUUCCAGUGCCCUCGGACCGCGUGCGUCUAGCGGCGGGACGGCCCGGCGUCGCGCCUGGGGUCGGUGGCGAAACGGCCGGCAACCUGUCCGACCCGUCUUGAAACACGGACCAAGGAGUCUAACAUGUGCGCGAGUCGUUGGGCGUUACGAAACCCGAAGGCGCAAUGAAAGUGAAGGCCCGGUCUCCGGCCGGCCUGGGUGGGAUCCGGACGGUCGCGGCCGUCCGGCGCACCACCGGCCCGUCUCGUUCGCCGCGUCGAGGAGGCGGAGCAAGAGCGUACACGUUGGGACCC
rnacentral:rRNA from 1 species